GACCUGGCGGCAGCUUACACAUGCAGUCGACCGGUAGCACAGAGGAGCUUGCUCCUUGGGUGACGAGUGGCGGACGGGUGAGUAAUGCUUGGGAAUCUGGCUUAUGGAGGGGGAUAACUACUGGAAACGGUAGCUAAUACCGCGUAAUAUCGGAAGAUUAAAGGGUGGGACCGCAAAGCCACUUGCCAUAAGAUGAGCCCAAGUGGGAUUAGGUAGUUGGUGGGGUAAAGGCCUACCAAGCCGACGAUCUCUAGCUGGUCUGAGAGGAUGACCAGCCACACUGGAACUGAGACACGGUCCAGACUCCUACGGGAGGCAGCAGUGGGGAAUAUUGCACAAUGGGGGGAACCCUGAUGCAGCCAUGCCGCGUGAAUGAAGAAGGCCUUCGGGUUGUAAAGUUCUUUCGGUGAUGAGGAAGGUAUCAAAUUUAAUAGAUUUGGUAAUUGACGUUAGUCACAGAAGAAGCACCGGCUAACUCCGUGCCAGCAGCCGCGGUAAU
rnacentral:rRNA from 1 species